rnacentral:rRNA from 1 species
UGAUUGCAGAUUUUCGUGAUCAUCGAAUCUUUGAACGCACAUUGCGCCCUCUGGAAUACCAGAGGGCAUGCCUGUUUGAGCGUCAUUUCUCUCUCAAACCUUCGGGUUUGGUAUUGAGUGAUACUCUUAGUUGAACUAGGCGUUUGCUUGAAAUGUAUUGGCAUGAGUGGUACUGGAUAGUGCUAUAUGACUUUCAAUGUAUUAGGUUUAUCCAACUCGUUGAAUAGUUUAAUGGUAUAUUUCUCGGUAUUCUAGGCUCGGCCUUACAAUAUAACAAACAAGUUUGACCUCAAAUCAGGUAGGAUUACCCGCUGAACUUAAGCAUAUCAAUAAGCGGAG